AAGUCCAUAAUAAAGAAAGAGCGUGGGUUUAAGAAGUGCAAUAUUAAAACAAAAACCGAGUCUUUUUAGCCCAGUGUGUAAAGACACACUCUGAGUUAUAACUCAGUGGCACAACU